CGACCUUAAGUAUAAGUAGAUAUAUGGGGAUGUAACGCAUGUUGUUUUCUGCGGGAAGCAUUUGCACAUGUUUCGUGGAGAAUGAAAUCACAUUCCAUACAUGAAUAAUAAUUACCUUUUAGAUAGAACAUCGUACUGCUUGAAAAAACAUGUUAAUGUCAUAAACUUUAUGAUGAAAACACCUAUAAAAAGCGUUUUUUCAAGCAUGUGCUAUCUAUGAAGGUAAUUACUAUUCAUGUAUAAAAUAUGAUUUUAUCCUCCAUAAAACAUGUGCAAAUGCUUUCUACAGGAAACAAUAUACGUUGCAUCCCCAUCUACUUACACUUAAGGUCGUUGU